rnacentral:rRNA from 1 species
CUACGGGCGGCAGCAGUGGGGAAUAUUGCACAAUGGGCGCAAGCCUGAUGCAGCCAUGCCGCGUGUACGAAGAAGGCCUUCGGGUUGUAAAGUACUUUCAGCGGGGAGGAAGGGAGUAAAGUUAAUACCUUUGCUCAUUGACGUUACCCGCAGAAGAAGCACCGGCUAACUCCGUGCCAGCAGCCGCGGUAAUACGGAGGGUGCAAGCGUUAAUCGGAAUUACUGGGCGUAAAGCGCACGCAGGCGGUUUGUUAAGUCAGAUGUGAAAUCCCCGGGCUCAACCCGGGAACUGCAUCUGAUACUGGCAAGCUUGAGUCUCGUAGAGGGGGGUAGAAUUCCAGGUGUAGCGGUGAAAUGCGUAGAGAUCUGGAGGAAUACCGGUGGCGAAGGCGGCCCCCUGGACGAAGACUGACGCUCAGGUGCGAAAGCGUGGGGAGCAAACAGUAUUAGAUACCCUCGUAGUC